rnacentral:rRNA from 1 species
GACGAACGCUGGCGGCGUGCCUAAUACAUGCAAGUCGAACGCACACUCGCUGAGAUUGAUGGUGUUUCGUUCGGAGCGAUCAAGAUUUUAACGAGUGGCGGACGUGCGUGUAACACGUGGAUAACCUGCCCAAACGUGAGGGAAAACCUUUGGAAAUAGUUGCCCAUACCGCUUAAUACCUAACACCGGCUGUUGUGGGGCUGAUAGAUGGUUUCGGCUCUCAUUUUAGGGUGGAUCCGCGGGGCAGUUGUUAGGUGGUGAGGUAAAGGCUCACCUAGACCGAGAUGCAUAACCCAACUGAGAGGGUGAUCGGCCACACUGGGACGUGGACACGGCCCAGACUCCUAAGGGAGGCAGCAGUAGGGAAUCUUCCACAAUGGACGGAAAUCUGAUGGAACAACCGCGCGUGAGUGGAGGAAGGUUUCGGAUCGGAAAACUCUGUUUUUGGGGAAAAAAGUAUCUGGUAGGUACUGAUCAGGUAGUGACGGUAACCAAACAAGAAGCCCCGGCUAACUACGUG